AACCAGCACCUCGAGUGGUCAGGAGGUUUAUUGGGCCUAAAGCAUCCGUAGCCGGUUGCAUAAGUUUUCGGUUAAAUCUAUGCGCUUAACGUAUAGGCCGCCGAAAAUACUGUGCAGCUAGGGAGUGGGAGAGGUACACGGUACUCGAUAGGAAGGGGUAAAAUCCUUUGAUCUAUUGAUGACCACCUGUGGCGAAGGCGGUGUACCAGAACACGUUCGACGGUGAGGGAUGAAAGCUGGGGGAGCAAACCGG
rnacentral:rRNA from 1 species